UUAGUUAGGCGGUUAUAUAAAUUUAUAAGUUUACAAGCAAUAAAAGGUAAAAUUGGUCUGUUGUUAUGUAAAUCUUUAUAAUUUGCAGUCGAAGCUAAGAAGAUUUAAUUAAAAACUAGGAUUAGAUACCCUAUUAUUAAAAUUGAAAUUAUAAGGAAAUCCGGUUAGUAGUAGUUAUUUACUUAAAAACUAAAAGAUUUGGCGGUAAUUUAAUCUUUUCAGGGGAAUUUGUUUUUUAAUCGAUAAACCACGAAAUAUCUUGCUUAUUUUAAAUUUAAUUAGUUUGUAUACCAUCAUUAUCAGAUAAUUUUUAAAGAAAAAAUUAUUUCAAUUAAAGACUUUAAAAAAAUUAGAUCAUGGUGCAGCUCAUAAAUAAGCUAAAAUGAAUUACAAUAAAUUAUUUUAUUACGGAUUUAUAAAUUAAAAGUUGUAAUGAAGGAGGACUUGGUUGUAUUAAAAGUUUAAUAAGCUUGUAAGACAUAGGCUCUAAAUUAUGUACAUAUCGCCCGUCGCUUUCACUCAUAGGU
rnacentral:rRNA from 1 species